UACGUAGGGCGCAAGCGUUGUCCGGAAUUAUUGGGCGUAAAGAGCUCGUAGGCGGCUUGUCACGUCGGGUGUGAAAGCCCGGGGCUUAACCCCGGGUCUGCAUUCGAUACGGGCUAGCUAGAGUGUGGUAGGGGAGAUCGGAAUUCCUGGUGUAGCGGUGAAAUGCGUAGAUAUCAGGAGGAACACCGGUGGCGAAGGCGGGUCUCUGGGCAGUAACUGACGCUGAGGAGCGAAAGCGUGGGGAGCGAACAGG
rnacentral:rRNA from 1 species